UACAGAGGGAGCUAGCGUUGUUCGGAAUUACUGGGCGUAAAGCGCGCGUAGGCGGCUUUGUAAGUUAGAGGUGAAAGCCCGGAGCUCAACUCCGGAACUGCCUUUAAGACUGCAUCGCUUGAAUCCAGGAGAGGUGAGUGGAAUUCCGAGUGUAGAGGUGAAAUUCGUAGAUAUUCGGAAGAACACCAGUGGCGAAGGCGGCUCACUGGACUGGUAUUGACGCUGAGGUGCGAAAGCGUGGGGAGCAAACAGG
rnacentral:rRNA from 1 species